rnacentral:snoRNA from 1 species
ACCUCACGAUUAGGGCAUAGCAUCAACUUUUCAUUAAAGCAUUGCCACACCUCAUAUAAGGGCUCUCCACUUAGUUGACAAAAAUUUGUGAUUUUAUCUCUUAUUU